UACGUAGGAGGCGAGCGUUGUCCGGAAUACUGGGCGUAAAGCGCGCGUAGGCGGUCUGUUGCGUAGGCGGUGAAAGCCCCAGGCUCACCUUGGGGAGGUCCGUCUAAACGAGCAGACUGGAGGGCGGUAGGGCUGGCGGAACGCCCGGAGUAGCGGUGAAAUGCGUUUGAGAUCGGGCAGAACACCAGUGGCGAAGGCGGGCCCGGCUGGGCCCGUACCCUGACGCUGAGGGCGCGAAAGCCCAGGGAGCGAAACGGAA
rnacentral:rRNA from 1 species